rnacentral:rRNA from 1 species
CACGUAGGGGGCGAGCGUUGUCCGGAUUUAUUGGGCGUAAAGAGCGUGUAGGCGGCCAGGUAGGUCUGCUGUGAAAACUCGAGGCUCAACCUCGAGACGUCGGCGGAAACCAUCUGGCUAGAGUCCGGAAGAGGAGAGUGGAAUUCCCGGUGUAGCGGUGAAAUGCGUAGAUAUCGGGAGGAACAUCAGUGGCGAAGGCGGCCUUCUGGUCCAGUACUGACACUCAAGUGCGAAAGCGUGGGGAGCAAACAGG